rnacentral:rRNA from 1 species
CACAUGCAAGUCGAACGGAAAGGCCCUGCUUUUGUGGGGUGCUCGAGUGGCGAACGGGUGAGUAACACGUGAGUAACCUGCCCUUGACUUUGGGAUAACUUCAGGAAACUGGGGCUAAUACCGGAUAGGAGCUCCUGCUGCAUGGUGGGGGUUGGAAAGUUUCGGCGGUUGGGGAUGGACUCGCGGCUUAUCAGCUUGUUGGUGGGGUAGUGGCUUACCAAGGCUUUGACGGGUAGCCGGCCUGAGAGGGUGACCGGCCACAUUGGGACUGAGAUACGGCCCAGACUCCUACGGGAGGCAGCAGUGGGGAAUAUUGCACAAUGGGCGGAAGCCUGAUGCAGCAACGCCGCGUGCGGGAUGACGGCCUUCGGGUUGUAAACCGCUUUCGCCUGUGACGAAGCGUGAGUGACGGUAAUGGGUAAAGAAGCACCGGCUAACUACGUGCCAGCAGCCGCGGUGAUACGUAGGGUGCGAGCGUUGUCCGGAUUUAUUGGGCGUAAAGGGCUCGUAGGUGGUUGAUCGCGUCGGAAGUGUAAUCUUGGGGCUUAACCCUGAGCGUGCUUUCGAUACGGGUUGACUUGAGGAAGGUAGGGGAGAAUGGAAUUCCUGGUGGAGCGGUGGAAUGCGCAGAUAUCAGGAGGAACACCAGUGGCGAAGGCGGUUCUCUGGGCCUUUCCUGACGCUGAGGAGCGAAAGCGUGGGGAGCGAACAGGCUUAGAUACCCUGGUAGUCCACGCUGUAAACGGUGGGUACUAGGUGUGGGGUCCAUUCCACGGGUUCCGUGCCGUAGCUAACGCUUUAAGUACCCCGCCUGGGGAGUACGGCCGCAAGGCUAAAACUCAAAGGAAUUGACGGGGCCCCGCACAAGCGGCGGAGCAUGCGGAUUAAUUCGAUGCAACGCGUAGAACCUUACCUGGGUUUGACAUGGAUCGGGAGUGCUCAGAGAUGGGUGUGCCUCUUUUGGGGUCGGUUCACAGGUGGUGCAUGGCUAUCGUCAGCUCGUGUCGUGAGAUGUUGGGUUAAGUCCCGCAACGAGCGCAACCCUUGUUCACUGUUGCCAGCACGUUAUGGUGGGGACUCAGUGGAGACCGCCGGGGUCAACUCGGAGGAAGGUGGGGAUGACGUCAAGUCAUCAUGCCCCUUAUGUCCAGGGCUUCACGCAUGCUACAAUGGCUGGUACAGAGAGUGGCGAGCCUGUGAGGGUGAGCGAAUCUCGGAAAGCCGGUCUCAGUUCGGAUUGGGGUCUGCAACUCGACCUCAUGAAGUCGGAGUCGCUAGUAAUCGCAGAUCAGCAACGCUGCGGUGAAUACGUUCCCGGGGCUUGUACACACCGCCCGUCAAGUCAUGAAAGUUGGUAACACCCGAAGCCGGUGGCCUAACCGUUGUGGGGGAGCCGUCGAAGGUGGGACUGGUGAUUAGGACUAAAUC